rnacentral:rRNA from 1 species
CUUCCAUCUGGAAGAAUCUGGAGACAGGUGCUGCAUGGCUGUCGUCAGCUCGUGUCGUGAGAUGUUGGGUUAAGUCCCGCACGAGCGCAACCCUUGCCUUUAGUUGCCAGCAGUUCGGCUGGGCACUCUAAAGGGACUGCCGGUGUUAAACCGGAGGAAGGUGGGGAUGACGUCAAGUCCUCAUGGCCUUUAUGACCAGGGCUACACACGUACUACAAUGGCCGAUACAAAGGGCAGCGACACUGCGAGGUGAAGCCAAUCCCGUAAAAUCGGUCUCAGUCCGGAUUGGAGUCUGCAACUCGACUCCAUGAAGUUGGAAUCGCUAGUAAUCGUGGGUCAGCAUGCCACGGUGAAUACGUUCCCGGGCCUU